rnacentral:rRNA from 1 species
UGCCACCUACGGGGGGCAGCAGUGGGGAAUAUUGCGCAAUGGGGGCAACCCUGACGCAGCAACGCCGCGUGAUUGAAGAAGGCCUUCGGGUUGUAAAGAUCUUUAAACAGGGACGAAGAAAUGACGGUACCUGAAGAAUAAGCUCCGGCUAACUACGUGCCAGCAGCCGCGGUAAUACGUAGGGAGCAAGCGUUGUCCGGAAUUACUGGGCGUAAAGGGCGCGUAGGGGGGCGCUUAAGUCAGGUGUAAAAACUCCGGGCUCAACCUGGAGACUGCACUUGAAACUGGGUGUCUUGAGGG